UACGUAGGGUGCGAGCGUUAAUCGGAAUUACUGGGCGUAAAGCGUGCGCAGGCGGUUCUCCAAGGCCGUUGUGAAAGCCCCGGGCUCAACCUGGGAAUGGCAGUGGAAACUAGGGGACUGGAAUCUGGCAGAGGGGGGUGGAAUGCCGCGUGUAGCAGUGAAAUGCGUAGAGAUGCGGCGGAACACCGAUGGCGAAGGCAGCCCCCUGGGCUGAGAUUGACGCUCAGGCACGAAAGCGUGGGGAGCAAACCGG
rnacentral:rRNA from 1 species